rnacentral:tRNA from 1 species
UCUUUCGUAGUUUAGCGUUCAGAGCAUUGGUGUGUAAAGCUGAAGGCCCCGGGUUCGAUUCCUGGCGAGGGUG